rnacentral:misc_RNA from 1 species
GAUGAAGAACGUAGCGAAAUGCGAUAAGUAAUGUGAAUUGCAGAAUUCAGUGAAUCAUCGAAUCUUUGAACGCACAUUGCGCCCCUUGGUAUUCCGAGGGGCAUGCCUGUUCGAGCGUCAUUAUAACCCCUCAAGCUCGGCUUGGUGUUGGGGCCUGCUGCACUGGCAGCCCUUAAAAUCAGUGGCGGCGCCAUCUGGCUCUAAGCGUAGUAAUUCUUCUCGCUAUGGAGUCCUGGUGGAUGCUUGCCAUCAACCCCCAAUUUUUCUAUGGUUGACCUCGGAUCAGGUAGGGAUACCCGCUGAACUUAAGCAUAUCAAUAAGCGGAGGA